CUCGGGUUGUAAACCUCUUCAGCAGGGAAGAAGCCACAAGUGACGGUACCUGCAGAAGAAGCGCCGGCUAACUACGUGCCAGCAGCCGCGGUAAUACGUAGGGCGCAAGCGUUGUCCGGAAUUAUUGGGCGUAAAGAGCUCGUAGGCGGUUUGUCGCGUCUGCUGUGAAAGCCCGGGGCUCAACCCCGGGUCUGCAGUGGGUACGGGCAGACUAGAGUGCAGUAGGGGAGACUGGAAUUCCUGGUGUAGCGGUGAAAUGCGCAGAUAUCAGGAGGAACACCGAUGGCGAAGGCAGGUCUCUGGGCUGUUACUGACGCUGAGGAGCGAAAGCAUGGGGAGCGAACAGGAUUAGAUACCCUGGUAGUCCAUGCCGUAAACGUUGGGCACUAGGUGUGGGGGACAUUCCACGUUCUCCGCGCCGUAGCUAACGCAUUAAGUGCCCCGCCUGGGGAGUACGGCCGCAAGGCUAAAACUCAAAGGAAUUGACGGGGGCCCGCACAAGCGGCGGAGCAUGCGGAUUAAUUCGAUGCAACGCGAAGAACCUUACCAAGGCUUGACAUUCACCGGACCGCCCCAGAGAUGGGGUUUCCCUUCGGGGUCGGUGGACAGGUGGUGCAUGGUUGUCGUCAGCUCGUGUCGUGAGAUGUUGGGUUAAGUCCCGCAACGAGCGCAACCCUCGUUCUAUGUUGCCAGCACGUGAUGGUGGGGACUCAUAGGAGACUGCCGGGGUCAACUCGGAGGAAGGUGGGGAUGACGUCAAAUCAUCAUGCCCCUUAUGUCUUGGGCUUCACGCAUGCUACAAUGGCCGGUACAAAGGGUUGCGAUACUGUGAGGUGGAGCUAAUCCCAAAAAGCCGGUCUCAGUUCGGAUUGAGGUCUGCAACUCGACCUCAUGAAGUCGGAGUCGCUAGUAAUCGCAGAUCAGCAAUGCUGCGGUGAAUACGUUCCCGGACCUGGUACACACUACC
rnacentral:rRNA from 1 species